rnacentral:rRNA from 1 species
UGUCGGAUUUACUGGGCGUAAGGGUGCGUAGGCGGAUGUUUAAGUGGGAUGUGAAAUCCCCGGGCUUAACCUGGGGGCUGCAUUCCAAACUGGAUAUCUAGAGUGCAGGAGAGGAAAGCGGAAUUCCUAGUGUAGCGGUGAAAUGCGUAGAGAUUAGGAAGAACACCAGUGGCGAAGGCGGCUUUCUGGACUGUAACUGACGCUGAGGCACGAAAGCGUGGGUAGCAAACAGGAUUAGAUACCCUGGUAGUCCACGCCGUAAACGAUGGAUACUAGGUGUAGGGGGUAUCAACUCCCCCUGUGCCGCAGUUAACACAAUAAGUAUCCCGCCUGGGGAGUACGGUCGCAAGAUUAAAACUCAAAGGAAUUGACGGGGGCCCGCACAAGCAGCGGAGCAUGUGGUUUAAUUCGAAGCAACGCGAAGAACCUUACCUGGACUUGACAUCCCUUGCAUAGCCUAGAGAUAGGUGAAGCCCUUCGGGGCAAGGAGACAGGUGGUGCAUGGUUGUCGUCAGCUCGUGUCGUGAGAUGUUAGGUUAAGUCCUGCAACGAGCGCAACCCUUGUUAUUAGUUGCUACCAUUAAGUUGAGCACUCUAAUGAGACUGCCUGGGUAACCAGGAGGAAGGUGGGGAUGACGUCAAAUCAUCAUGCCCCUUAUGUCCAGGGCUACACACGUGCUACAAUGGUAGGUACAAUAAGACGCAAGACCGUGAGGUGGAGCAAAACUUAUAAAACCUAUCUCAGUUCGGAUUGUAGGCUGCAACUCGCCUACAUGAAGCUGGAGUUGCUAGUAAUCGCGAAUCAGAAUGUCGCGGUGAGUACGUUCCCGGGCCUUGUACACACCGCCCGUCACACCAUGAGAGCUGGUAACACCCGAAGUCCGUGAGGUAACCGUAAGGAGCCAGCGGCCGAAUGUGGGAUUAGUGAUUGGGGUGAGUCUACAAAAGGUACCC